rnacentral:lncRNA from 1 species
GUUCUUAAAAAUCAAGUUUUAACGUAAAAUAUACGAAAAACAACCAUGUAAUUUAGAUUACAUAUACGUCGGAAAUACGGGUUUAUUAAAACUUUUACAAAUCAAAAGUCAUUUGACAUAACGUGAUCAGAUUCGUCGUUUAAAAUUAAUGACGAUGCAAAGUGCGGAAGCGUGUAUCUUUAUCGUGUUCGGUUCCUCGUUGAGCUUGACCGUCUUCCGGCAUCCAAAAUUACCUGAAUGAGUUGGGAAGAUCUGAUCGGCUACGACGUCGUAAUUGAAGGAAAUGGUGAAAAGAACCAAAACCCACGACAAAUUGGAACCCAUUUGUUACGUCAAAGUGUGUGGGUUGGUCACCAAGAACAUGGAUAGAUGAAAUUUUGAGA